GAUGGACGCUGGCGGCGUGCCUAGUACAUGCAAGUCGAGCGAAUGGAUUAAGAGCUUGCUCUUAUGAAGUUAGCGGCGGACGGGUGAGUAACACGUGGGUAACCUGCCCAUAAGACUGGGAUAACUCCGGGAAACCGGGGCUAAUACCGGAUAACAUUUUGAACCGCAUGGUUCGAAAUUGAAAGGCGGCUUCGGCUGUCACUUAUGGAUGUACCCGCGUCGCAUUAGCUAGUUGGUGAGGUAACGGCUCACCAAGGCAACGAUGCGUAGCCGACCUGAGAGGGUGAUCGGCCACACUGGGACUGAGACACGGCCCAGACUCCUACGGGAGGCAGCAGUAGGGAAUCUUCCGCAAUGGACGAAAGUCUGACGGAGCAACGCCGCGUGAGUGAUGAAGGCUUUCGGGUCGUAAAACUCUGUUGUUAGGGAAGAACAAGUGCUAGUUGAAUAAGCUGGCACCUUGACGGUACCUAACCAGAAAGCCACGGCUAACUACGUGCCAGCCGCCGCUGUAA
rnacentral:rRNA from 1 species